GUGUUUGUCUUGGCAGCACGUACACUAAAAUUGGAAUGAUACAGAGAAUAUUAGCAUGGCCCUUGCACAAGGAUGGCAUUCCAUUAUAUAUAUAAAAAAAGUUAUC